rnacentral:rRNA from 1 species
AGUGAACGCUGGCGGUAGGCCUAACACAUGCAAGUCGAACGGCAGCACAGGAGAGCUUGCUCUCUGGGUGGCGAGUGGCGGACGGGUGAGGAAUACAUCGGAAUCUACUUUUUCGUGAGGGAUAACGUAGGGAAACUUACGCUAAUACCGCAUACGACCUACGGGUGAAAGCAGGGGACCUUCUGGCCUUGCGCGAUUGAAUGAGCCGAUGUCGGAUUAGCUAGUUGGCGGGGUAAAGGCCCACCAAGGCGACGAUCCGUAGCUGGUCUGAGAGGAUGAUCAGCCACACUGGAACGGAGAAACGGUCCAGACUCCUACGGGAGGCAGCAGUGGGGAAUAUUGGACAAUGGGCGCAAGCCUGAUCCAGCCAUACCGCGUGGGUGAAGAAGGCCUUCGGGUUGUAAAGCCCUUUUGUUGGGAAAGAAACCCAGCUGGCUAAUACCCGGUUGGGAUGACGGUACCCAAAGAAUAAGCACCGGCUAACUUCGUGCCAGCAGCAGCCGCCG